UCUAGACAAGCUCCUUUUGGACCUAGAGUCCUUCCUUCUGAUCCUGGACCGGGAGAACCUCAGCUACAUUGCUCAGGCCAAGAAGAAAUCCAUCGCUGAGCUACUUUCCAGGUUCCAGAGCCCUCCAUCAGAGGACGCAGAGUACAUGAUCAUGCGCUGCAUCUCGCCCUCCUCUGGGAGCAGCACCUUCCAAACGCCACCUGACCUGAGCCCACGCCAAGCAAUCUUGUCUCCAGACCUUAUGGGAAGGGGAGAGUGUGACUCGCCCACUACCAAUGGCCAGUGCUCUCCAGGCAGG